CCUACGGGUGGCAGCAGUGGGGAAUAUUGCACAAUGGGGGAAACCCUGAUGCAGCGACGCCGCGUGAGUGAAGAAGUAUCUCGGUACGUAAAGCUCUAUCAGCAGGGAAGAAAAUGACGGUACCUGACUAAGAAGCCCCGGCUAACUACGUGCCAGCAGCCGCGGUAAUACGUAGGGGGCAAGCGUUAUCCGGAUUUACUGGGUGGAAAGGGAGCGUAGACGGCAGCACAAGUCUGGAGUGAAAUCCCGGGGCUUAACCCCGGAAUUGCUUUGGAAACUGUGGGGCUGGAGUGCAGGAGGGGGAAGCGGAACUCCAAGUGUAGCGGUGAAAUGCGUAGAUAUAUGGAGGAACACCGGUGGCGAAGGCGGCUCACUGGUCUGCAACUGACGUUGAGGCUCGAAAGCGUGGGGAGCAAACAGGAUUAGAUACCCGUGUAGUC
rnacentral:rRNA from 1 species